UGUCUUUAAGAUUAAAAUUUAAAGUCUGGCCUGCUCUAUGAUGCAAUUAAAUGGCCGCGGUAAUUUGACCGUGCAAAGGUAGCAUAAUCAUUUGUCUUUUAAAUGAGGUCUGGAAUGAAAGGUUUGACGAGAGACUAACUGUCUCAGAAUUAAUUUUAGAAUUUAAAAUUUUAGUAAGAAUGCUGAAAUGAGUUUAUGGGACGAGAAGACCCUAUAGAGUUUUAUAAAUUAAAAGUUAUCGUUAGUUAUUAAGUAAUUGUUAAUUUAUUUUGUUGGGAGGACAUGAAGAUAUUAUAGCUCUUUAUUGUAAAUAUCAUUAAUUUAUGUUUAAUUGAUCCAGUAUUAUUGAUUAUAAGAUUAAACUACCUUAGGGAUAACAGCGUAAUUUCGUUAAAAAGUUCAUAUUUACAAUGGAGAUUGCGACCUCGAUGUUGGAUUAAGGAUUACUAAUAAAUGCAGAAGUUUAGUUAAGUGAGUCUGUUCGACUUUUAAAUCCUU
rnacentral:rRNA from 1 species